UGGGGAAUAUUGGACAAUGGGCGAAAGCCUGAUCCAGCCAUGCCGCGUGUGUGAAGAAGGUCUUCGGAUUGUAAAGCACUUUAAGUUGGGAGGAAGGGCAUUAACCUGAUACGUUAGUGUUUUGACGUUACCGACAGAAUAAGCACCGGCUAACUCUGUGCCAGCAGCCGCGGUAAUACAGAGGGUGCAAGCGUUAAUCGGAAUUACUGGGCGUAAAGCGCGCGUAGGUGGUUUGUUAAGUUGGAUGUGAAAUCCCCGGGCUCAACCUGGGAACUGCAUUCAAAACUGACUGACUAGAGUAUGGUAGAGGGUGGUGGAAUUUCCUGUGUAGCGGUGAAAUGCGUAGAUAUAGGAAGGAACACCAGUGGCGAAGGCGACCACCUGGACUAAUACUGACACUGAGGUGCGAAAGCGUGGGGAGCAAACA
rnacentral:rRNA from 1 species